UGUUCAGACUCUUUACAUUUUAGAGAGAACAGUUUUUGUUGUCUUUGAUUUCCUGCCCUUUCAAUUUCCUUGCAAUCACGUAUUUAUACUUUUAUGUUUUGUUUUCUGAUUUUAAAAUUUCCUCAUCUUUUGAUAUGAACAGUCUACUCUGGUCCAAGGGUCUGUUCCUGCGUUUAGAGGGCGUUUAACCGAAGGAUCGGUGUACACCUUAAGUGGGUUCGAUGUCACACUGGUUGCGGAUUUGAAAGCUGGUGGAUGUUCAAACACUGAUGAGGUCUGUUUGCCAAGGUUCUGGGAGGCUAGGAAUGUGAAGAAAGGAGGCAGACUAAUUGUCAACACGUAUGCGAGGAUCCGUUUCAGCGAAGGUUCAGUUUAGACGAUGAGCGGUUUCGACAUUACGCCGAGCAACAACAAUCUUCAUAUGUCUGAUGCACCCCUCUCCAUACGCUUUAGUGAUGUGGCAUUUCCUUUGAAGAGCUAACGGAGAGAUAAAUCAAUGUUUUCAAGACAUACUUGGCGAGCUAAGUACAGUGGGGAGCACAAUCAACGACCGUACACAGGGGGCACAUUGUGUGAUGCUUACUCUCCAGCUAGAAAGGUACUUUGAACUGUUAAAACUCCAGUGGUUAUUGGAAAUAUUUCAACGACAAAAGUUUGGCCCUCUCUGAACCCGGAUCCAGAACAUGUAACAUGGUGUUCAGUUGUAUGGUUUAUUAAGUAGCGAAUACCAAAACGCACGCUUUCAUUGUACGGCUGGUAAGGAAAGAUCGAAUGUACACAGAAUGAUAUCGUUGGGUCUUGAUGUUCACCGAUGUGUUUACUUUGUGGAACUGAAAAUGAAUCAGCAAGUCAUCUAUUCUUUGAUUGUCAGUUUUCUUAUGCGGUAGGGAGCAAAUUAUUAGAAAGAAGUGGACUUAACUCUCCUACAUCUCUAGCAGAUAUCACUGCUUGGAUCACAUCAUCUCAGGAGGAAGGGAAAAUAAAAACAGUUUCUAACACUCGGGUUCCUUAUCUACUGAUAUAUGUAUGUUUUCUUAUG